rnacentral:rRNA from 1 species
GGUCAAGUGAAGAAGCGCAUACGGUGGAUGCCUUGGCAGUCAGAGGCGAUGAAAGACGUGGUAGCCUGCGAAAAGCUUCGGGGAGUCGGCAAACAGACUGUGAUCCGGAGAUGUCUGAAUGGGGGAACCCAGCCAUCACAAGAUGGUUAUCUUACACUGAAUACAUAGGUGUAAGAGGCGAACCAGGGGAACUGAAACAUCUAAGUACCCUGAGGAAAAGAAAUCAACCGAGAUUCCCUUAGUAGUGGCGAGCGAACGGGGACCAGCCCUUAAGUUGUAUUGAGAUUAGCGGAACGCUCUGGAAAGUGCGGCCAUAGUGGGUGAUAGCCCUGUACGCGAAAAUCCCUUUGCAAUGAAAUCGAGUAGGACGGGGCACGAGAAACCUUGUCUGAAUAUGGGGGGACCAUCCUCCAAGGCUAAAUACUACUGACUGACCGAUAGUGAACCAGUACCGUGAGGGAAAGGCGAAAAGAACCGCGGAGAGCGGAGUGAAAUAGAUCCUGAAACCGUAUGCGUACAAGCAGUGGGAGCCCACUUUGUUGGGUGACUGCGUACCUUUUGUAUAAUGGGUCAGCGACUUAUUUUCAGUGGCGAGCUUAACCGAAUAGGGGAGGCGUAGCGAAAGCGAGUCUUAAUAGGGCGUCUAGUCGCUGGGAAUAGACCCGAAACCGGGCGAUCUAUCCAUGGGCAGGUUGAAGGUUGGGUAACACUAACUGGAGGACCGAACCGACUACCGUUGAAAAGUUAGCGGAUGACCUGUGGAUCGGAGUGAAAGGCUAAUCAAGCUCGGAGAUAGCUGGUUCUCCUCGAAAGCUAUUUAGGUAGCGCCUCAUGUAUCACUGUAGGGGGUAGAGCACUGUUUCGGCUAGGGGGUCAUCCCGACUUACCAAACCGAUGCAAACUCCGAAUACCUACAAGUGCCGAGCAUGGGAGACACACGGCGGGUGCUAACGUCCGUCGUGAAAAGGGAAACAACCCAGACCGUCAGCUAAGGUCCCAAAGUCAUGGUUAAGUGGGAAACGAUGUGGGAAGGCUUAGACAGCUAGGAGGUUGGCUUAGAAGCAGCCACCCUUUAAAGAAAGCGUAAUAGCUCACUAGUCGAGUCGGCCUGCGCGGAAGAUGUAACGGGGCUCAAACCAUGCACCGAAGCUACGGGUAUCACCUUUGGUGAUGCGGUAGAGGAGCGUUCUGUAAGCCUGUGAAGGUGAGUUGAGAAGCUUGCUGGAGGUAUCAGAAGUGCGAAUGCUGACAUGAGUAACGACAAUGGGUGUGAAAAACACCCACGCCGAAAGACCAAGGUUUCCUGCGCAACGUUAAUCGACGCAGGGUUAGUCGGUCCCUAAGGCGAGGCUGAAAAGCGUAGUCGAUGGAAAACAGGUUAAUAUUCCUGUACUUCUGGUUAUUGCGAUGGAGGGACGGAGAAGGCUAGGCCAGCCUGGCGUUGGUAGUCCAGGUUUAAGGUGGUAGGCUGAGAUCUUAGGUAAAUCCGGGAUCUUAAGGCCGAGAGCUGAUGACGAGUGUUCUUUUAGAACAUGAAGUGGUUGAUGCCAUGCUUCCAAGAAAAGCUUCUAAGCUUCAGGUAACCAGGAACCGUACCCCAAACCGACACAGGUGGUUGGGUAGAGAAUACCAAGGCGCUUGAGAGAACUCGGGUGAAGGAACUAGGCAAAAUGGCACCGUAACUUCGGGAGAAGGUGCGCCGGUGAGGGUGAAGCAUUUACUGCGUAAGCCCACGCCGGUCGAAGAUACCAGGCCGCUGCGACUGUUUAUUAAAAACACAGCACUCUGCAAACACGAAAGUGGACGUAUAGGGUGUGACGCCUGCCCGGUGCCGGAAGGUUAAUUGAUGGGGUUAGCGCAAGCGAAGCUCUUGAUCGAAGCCCCGGUAAACGGCGGCCGUAACUAUAACGGUCCUAACGUAGCGAAAUUCCUUGUCGGGAAAGUUCCGACCUGCACGAAUGGCGUAACGAUGGCGGCGCUGUCUCCACCCGAGACUCAGUGAAAUUGAAAUCGCUGUGAAGAUGCAGUGUAUCCGCGGCUAGACGGAAAGACCCCGUGAACCUUUACUAUAGCUUUGCACUGGACUUUGAAUUUGCUUGUGUAGGAUAGGUGGGAGGCUUUGAAGCGUGGACGCCAGUCUGCGUGGAGCCAACCUUGAAAUACCACCCUGGCAACUUUGAGGUUCUAACUCAGGUCCGUUAUCCGGAUCGAGGACAGUGUAUGGUGGGUAGUUUGACUGGGGCGGUCUCCUCCUAAAGAGUAACGGAGGAGUACGAAGGUGCGCUCAGACCGGUCGGAAAUCGGUCGUAGAGUAUAAAGGCAAAAGCGCGCUUGACUGCGAGACAGACACGUCGAGCAGGUACGAAAGUAGGUCUUAGUGAUCCGGUGGUUCUGUAUGGAAGGGCCAUCGCUCAACGGAUAAAAGGUACUCCGGGGAUAACAGGCUGAUACCGCCCAAGAGUUCAUAUCGACGGCGGUGUUUGGCACCUCGAUGUCGGCUCAUCACAUCCUGGGGCUGAAGCCGGUCCCAAGGGUAUGGCUGUUCGCCAUUUAAAGUGGUACGCGAGCUGGGUUUAGAACGUCGUGAGACAGUUCGGUCCCUAUCUGCCGUGGACGUUUGAGAUUUGAGAGGGGCUGCUCCUAGUACGAGAGGACCGGAGUGGACGAACCUCUGGUGUUCCGGUUGUCACGCCAGUGGCAUUGCCGGGUAGCUAUGUUCGGAAAAGAUAACCGCUGAAAGCAUCUAAGCGGGAAACUUGCCUCAAGAUGAGAUCUCACUGGAACCUAGAGUUCCCUGAAGGGCCGUCGAAGACUACGACGUUGAUAGGUUGGGUGUGUAAGCGCUGUGAGGCGUUGAGCUAACCAAUACUAAUUGCCCGUGAGGCUUGACCAU